rnacentral:sRNA from 1 species
GGACUAGUAGUCCCGAAAUUUUUACAAUUUAUUGGAGUGUUCAUAUGCAUGUCGUUAGCCAUUUAUGUUCUUAAUACUUAUCCUGAUGGUUUUUUUGUUCUUAUUUCAUAAUGAAAUAUAUGUUUUAUAAGUAUUCCAUCCCAAUGCAAAAUAUUUGUUUUUCAAUGAUAAAUUUUAGGAGCUAAUAAGAACGUCAAAGACGAGUGUUGCUGAAUUGAUAUGUCCCAAGGUGGCAAUUACCUCUGCCAUGGUUUAAAUGGAGAAUGUGUUUAGGGAAAAAAUUAAAAAUUGUAGAUUACAUUGUUCAAUAUUAACCAAAAUUUUAUAUUAUUAUAAAGAAAUCUAUACUACUAUAUUAAAAUAAUAGACUCGAAUUUUUGGUCUUUAAUACCGAGAAAUCAGAAGAAUACUGUCUUUUGUUUUAUGUAUUUUAAACAUCAUUGGUUCUUG